UACGUAGGGUGCAAGCGUUAAUCGGAAUUACUGGGCGUAAAGCGUGCGCAGGCGGUUAUGCAAGACAGAGGUGAAAUCCCCGGGCUUAACCUGGGAAUGGCAUUGGUGACUGCACGGCUAGAGUGUGUCAGAGGGGGGUAGAAUUCCACGUGUAGCAGUGAAAUGCGUAGAGAUGUGGAGGAACACCAAUGGCGAAGGCAAUCCCCUGGGCCUGUACUGACGCUCAUGCACGAAAGCGUGGGGAGCAAACAGG
rnacentral:rRNA from 1 species